AAAACCUUACCUACCUUGACAUGUCCGGAAUCCGAAGAGAUUUGGGAGUGCUCGCAAGAGAGUCCGGAACACAGGUGCUGCAUGGCUGUCGUCAGCUCGUGUCGUGAGAUGUUGGGUUAAGUCCCGCAACGAGCGCAACCCUUGUCAUUAGUUGCCAUCAUUUGGUUGGGCACUCUAAUGAGACUGCCGGUGACAAACCGGAGGAAGGUGGGGAUGACGUCAAGUCCUCAUGGCCCUUAUGGGUAGGGCUUCACGCGUCAUACAAUGGUCGGUACAGAGGGUUGCCAACCCGCGAGGGGGAGCUAAUCCCACAAAGCCGAUCGUAGUCCGGAUCGCAGUCUGCAACUCGACUGCGUGAAGUCGGAAUCGCUAGUAAUCGUGGAUCAGCAUGUCACGGUGAAUACGUUCCCGGGUCUU
rnacentral:rRNA from 1 species